UCAAACCAAUGAAAGAAGUAUGUUUUUAAACAUAAGAGCUAGUAUUAUAUUUUGGGAGUAGUAUUGAGCACCGAUAUGGGGGAGAGUUCAGACAACUCCCAGCCCCCAUAAACCAUGUAGCUAUCAUGGGUAGAAAAUGGUCAUACUUUUUAGAUGAUUCCUUAGUGUUUUUUAGCAUAGACUAGUGGAUCCACUUAGUAGUCAGGUUCUAUACCCUUGGCAAGGUAUAGGAUGGC
rnacentral:lncRNA from 1 species